AAAGGGGCUUCGGCCCUGAGUAAAGUGGCGCACGGGUGAGUAACACGUGGGUAACCUGCCUCUGAGAUCGGGAUAACCUGUCGAAAGACGGGCUAAUACCGGAUAAGACCACAAUUCCUGCGGGGAUCGAGGUCAAAGGUAGCCUCUAUUUAUAAGCUAUCACUUAGAGAUGGGCCUGCGUACCAUUAGCUAGUUGGUAGGGUAACGGCCUACCAAGGCUAAGAUGGUUAGCUGGUCUGAGAGGAUGAUCAGCCACACUGGAACUGAGACACGGUCCAGACUCCUACGGGAGGCAGCAGUGGGGAAUAUUGCGCAAUGGGCGAAAGCCUGACGCAGCAACGCCGCGUGGGUGAUGAAGGCCUUCGGG
rnacentral:rRNA from 1 species